rnacentral:rRNA from 1 species
GCGGUGGAGCAUGUGUUAAUUCGACGCAACGCGAAGAACCUUACCGAGGCUUGACAUCCCCUGACCGCGUAUGAAAGUACGUUUUCACCCUCGGGUGACAGGGAGACAGGUGCUGCAUGGCUGUCGUCAGCUCGUGUCGUGAGAUGUUGGGUUAAGUCCCGCAACGAGCGCAACCCUUGCCUUUAGUUGCCAGCAGUUCGGCUGGGCACUCUAAAGGGACUGCCGGUGUUAAACCGGAGGAAGGUGGGGAUGACGUCAAGUCCUCAUGGCCUUUAUGACCAGGGCUACACACGUACUACAAUGGCCGAUACAAAGGGCAGCGACAUUGCGAAAUGAAGCCAAUCCCAUAAAUUCGGUCUCAGUCCGGAUUGGAGUCUGCAACUCGACUCCAUGAAGUUGGAAUCGCUAGUAAUCGUGGAUCAGCAUGCCACGGUGAAUACGUUCCCGGGCCUU